UACGGAGGAUCCGAGCGUUAUCCGGAUUUAUUGGGUUUAAAGGGAGCGUAGGCGGGUUGUUAAGUCAGUUGUGAAAGUUUGCGGCUCAACCGUAAAAUUGCAGUUGAUACUGGCAUCCUUGAGUACAGUAGAGGUAGGCGGAAUUCGUGGUGUAGCGGUGAAAUGCUUAGAUAUCACGGAGAACUCCGAUUGCGAAGGCAGCCUGCUGGACUGUAACUGACGCUGAUGCUCGAAAGUGUGGGUAUCAAACAGG
rnacentral:rRNA from 1 species